GAUGAACGCUGGCGGCGUGCCUAACACAUGCAAGUCGAACGGAGGUUCCGGACGGAUGCUUCUGGAUGGAUGCCUGUAAUUCUUAGUGGCGGACGUGUGAGUAACGCCUGUGCGACCUGCCCUAUACAGGGGGAUCGCAGCUGGAAACGGCUGGUAAGACCGCACAAGUCGGUUAAAUCGCAUGAUCUGAUUUGGAAAUGCGCAAUCAGGUAUAGGAUGUGCCUGCGUCCGUUUAGCCAGUUGGCAGGGUAAAAGCCUACCAAAGCGACGAGCGGUAGCCGGACUGAGAGACCGGGCGGCGACAUUGGCAGUGAGACGCAGCCGGGACUCCUACGGGAAGCAGCAGUGGGUGAUAGUGCAAAGUGGAGUAAGCUCUGAUGCAGCGACGCCGCGUGAGUGAAGAUGUAUUUCAGUAUGUAAAGCGCUAUCAGCAGUGAAGAUGAUGACGGUACCUGACUAGGAAGCCCCGGCUAACUACGUG
rnacentral:rRNA from 1 species